UAGGGAAUCUUCCGCAAUGGACGAAAGUCUGACGGAGCAACGCCGCGUGAGUGAUGAAGGUUUUCGGAUCGUAAAACCCUGUUGUUAGGGAAGAACAAGUACCGUUCUAACAGGACGGUACCUUGACGGUACCUAACCAGAAAGCCCCGGCUAACUACGUGCCAGCAGCCGCGGUAAUACGUAGGGGGCAAGCGUUGUCCGGAAUUAUUGGGCGUAAAGCGCUCGCAGGCGGUCUUUUAAGUCUGAUGUGAAAGCCCACGGCUCAACCGUGGAGGGUCAUUGGAAACUGGAGGACUUGAGUACAGAAGAGGAGAGUGGAAUUCCACGUGUAGCGGUGAAAUGCGUAGAGAUGUGGAGGAACACCAGUGGCGAAGGCGACUCUCUGGUCUGUAACUGACGCUGAGGAGCGAAAGCGUGGGGAGCAAACAGGAUUAGAUACCCUGGUAGUCCACGCCGUAAACGAUGAGUGCUAGGUGUUAGGGGGUUUCCGCCCUUAGUGCUGAAGUUAACGCAUUAAGC
rnacentral:rRNA from 1 species